rnacentral:rRNA from 1 species
AGCAGCCGCGGUAAUUCCAGCUCCAAUAGCGUAUAUUAAAGUUGUUGCAGUUAAAAAGCUCGUAGUUGAAUUUCGGGGUUCUACCGUUGGUCAGGCUAUUGUCUGUACUGGCGUGUAGAAUUUCUACCUUCUGGGGAACUAUCAUGUUAUUAAUUUAGCGUGGUAGGAAACCAGGACCUUUACCUUGAAAAAAUUAGAGUGUUCAAAGCAGGCUUAUGUCUGAAUACAUUAGCAUGGAAUAAUAAAAUAGGACGGUGGUCCUGUUUUGUUGGUUUCUGAAUCACCGUAAUGAUUAAUAGGGAUAGUUGGGGGCAUUAGUAUUCAAUUGUCAGAGGUGAAAUUCUUGGAUUUAUUGAAGACUAACUACUGCGAAAGCAAUUUGCCAAGGAUGUUUCAUUAAUCAAGAACGAAAGUUAGGGAUCGAAGACGAUCAGAUACCGUCGUAGUCUUAACCAUAAACUAUCGCCGAUAGGGAUCGGACGAUGUUAACUUUUCUUGACUCGUUCGGCGUCCUUACGGG